rnacentral:rRNA from 1 species
ACGGGGAGCACCACAACAGGUGGAGCCUGCGGUUUAAUCGGACUCAACGCCGGGAAACUCACCAGAUAAGACAGCUGAAUGGUAGUCGGGCUGAAGACUCUACUUGACUAGCUGAGAGGAGGUGCAUGGCCGUCGUCAGUUCGUACUGUGAAGCAUCCUGUUAAGUCAGGCAACGAGCGAGACCCACGCCAACAGUUGCCAGCUCGUCCUCCGGGAUGGUGGGGACACUGUUGGGACCGCCUCUGCUAAAGAGGAGGAAGGAAUGGGCAACGGUAGGUCAGCAUGCCCCGAAUUAUCUGGGCUACACGCGGGCUACAAUGGGUGGGACAAUGGGUAUCGACACCGAAAGGUGAAGGCAAUCUCCUAAACCCAUCCGUAGUUCGGAUUGUGGGCUGCAACUCGCCCACAUGAAGCUGGAAUCUGUAGUAAUCGUGUCUCAAAAUGGCACGGUGAAUAUGUCCCUGCUCCUU